rnacentral:lncRNA from 1 species
CUUCAAUCGAAGGUCAUGGAGAUCAUUACGUGUCAUGCAAUGGUGAAGAGGUUGGGUGAGAACGACACGUGUUGCACCAUUAUCGAGCAGGUAAAAUAGCCGCAAGGCUUAGGGGUGAGGGUGAGAAAAAUAUCGUAGAAAACGAGAGAGAAAAUGCCAUAGAAAUCAGUCGAGUGAGGAUCUCCGACACGGCAACAACUACUUUCUUCGUCGUAAUAUCAGUUCGCAAUCAUGGUUGAUAAUGGCGUUGGGUUGCUGUUGGGUGUUGUAUCGUUUAUGCCGAGCACGAGAGCGAUAAGGCGAUAGAAAUCCAUCGGGUGAGCAUCUCCGACACGUCAACUGCAUUCUUGGUGUUAUUUCCAGUAUUCAAUCACGGUAAACUAUGCCGUCGUGCUGCGCUACACACUACAACUGAUGCUGCUUCGAGCUACUAUACCGAAGUAUUAUUCUUCCUCGAGCUUCGCUACUAAAGCGCACGGGUGCUACACCAGCGAGUCUCCCGAGUACUACUCUGCUCCCAGCUACUAAACUGAGUCAAAAGUAACGGACUGAAGAUGCUAAAAGUUUUUGCUGAGGACGGUAGUAGGUCGAGUCCUCCCUAAAUACUUGAGCGAAUGGACAACCGAGAAGUUGAAUGCGGAAAGUGUUGAUGUGUUGCCCAAAGCUAAUGUUGAGGGUGCAAGCUUGGAAGACAACAAGGUCCCAUUGACCUUAAAACAAUGGUCGAAAGGUUUAAACUGACCAUGUUGUCGUUGCUGUCGGUUUGAACGCAAACACGGAUUUGGCUGUCGCUUUUGGUUUGGAAAUUGAUUCGAAUUUUGGUAGUUGUCGAGUCAAUGCCGAGUUUGAAGCAGAUCAAACGUCUGGUUGCCAAAGAUGCUGCCUGCUUUCAUGAUAUCAAAUUGGAUCGUCGUCGUGUGGAACAUCAUGACCACGCUGUUGUAUCAGAGCGAUUGGCUAGAGAGCAUAUGAUUGGCAAUGCAUGCAUGCAACAUGGGUGAAGGACUGCAGCGCAAUAUUUGUCACUAUCUGCAUUCUUCGUCGUAUUUUCAGUACGCAAUCAUGGCCGCAACGCCGCCGCCUUACUGCACAACAACACACGCAACAACCGGUUACCACACCACCAAGGCUGCAGAAUAUUAUACCACAACUUAUGAUGCCCCGAGCUACUACAUUGAAGCCCUGAAGUAUAACUCUGCCCCGAGUUGCCUCAACAAAGAGGCUGAGUACUACACCGAGGUUUCCAAGUACUACACC